UCCGUAGGUGAACCUGCGGAAGGAUCAUUACAAGUGAGGCUACCGAACGUUGGAAACAGCGGUUAGGAGCUUACACCCACCCGUGUUUACAUACUAUUGUUGCUUUGGCGGGCCGUGGCCUCCACUGCGGGCUCUGCUCGUGUGUGCCCGCCAGAGAACCAAACUCUGAAUGUUAGUGAUGUCUGAGUACUAUCUAAUAGUUAAAACUUUCAACAACGGAUCUCUUGGUUCUGGCAUCGAUGAAGAACGCAGCGAAAUGCGAUAAGUAAUGUGAAUUGCAGAAUUCAGUGAAUCAUCGAAUCUUUGAACGCACAUUGCGCCCUGUGGUAUUCCGCAGGGCAUGCCUGUUCGAGCGUCAUUUAACCACUCACGCCUAGCGUGGUAUUGGGGCACGCGGUCUCCGCGGCCCUCAAAAUUAGUGGCGGCGCCGGUGGGCUCUAAGCGUAGUACAUACUCCCGCUAUAGAGUUCCCCCCGGUGGCUCGCCAGAACCCCCAAUUUUUUUUACAGGUUGACCUCGGAUCAGGUAGGGAUACCCGCUGAACUUAAGCAUAUCAAUAAGCGGAGGAAAAGAAACCAACAGGGAUUACCUCAGUAACGGCGAGUGAAGCGGUAACAGCUCAAAUUUGAAAGCUGCCAACAGGCCGCGUUGUAAUUUGUAGAAGCUGCUUUGGGUGUCGGCCCGGUCUAAGUUCCUUGGAACAGGACGUCAUAGAGGGUGAGAAUCCCGUAUGUGAUCGGUGCCGUUGCCCGUGUAAAGCGCUUUCGACGAGUCGAGUUGUUUGGGAAUGCAGCUCAAAAUGGGUGGUAAAUUUCAUCUAAAGCUAAAUAUUGGCCAGAGACCGAUAGCGCACAAGUAGAGUGAUCGAAAGAUGAAAAGAAUC
rnacentral:rRNA from 1 species